UUAGGGAUGGUGUGAGUGGGGAGCCUGGGGGGAGUGGGGGGGUGUGGCCUGGGCACACGUGUGUUCUUGAGGAGGUAGGUGAGGCUCCAGGCGGUCGGAGGCCAUCAGAUUGGGUGAGACCUGGCUGGGAGAUGGGUCUCCCCACCUCCAUCCAAGGGCAGUGACUCCAGGAAGCAGGCAUGCAUCCUGGAGUCCUAGGUGAGAAUUCACCAAUGUGGUUGUGGAGAACUGGCUUGUUUUGCCCGUUGGGGUGACUGGAAGGAGUGGUAGCACCUGGGGCUCCCUGCUCAGGCCUGAUGCCACUGCUCCCCAGGGACUGUCCUGGCUGUGUUUGGCUCCGUGAGAGACGACGGGAAGUUUCUGGUGGAGGACUAUUGCUUUGCUGACCUUGCUCCCCAGAAGCCCGCACCCCCACUUGACACAGAUAGGUUUGUGCUACUGGUGUCCGGCCUGGGCCUGGGUGGCGGUGGAGGCGAGAGCCUGCUGGGCACCCAGCUGCUGGUGGAUGUGGUGACGGGGCAGCUUGGGGACGAAGGGGAGC
rnacentral:lncRNA from 1 species